AAAAAAAAAAAAACACGGAGUUUAGAAGUUUUCUUGAGUUGUGUCUUAAAAAAUUUAACUCAAAUAGGAUUUCAAAAAAUCAUUUCCUUCAGAAAUCAUUGUAUAUAACUUCAUCUAUUUAUUUCUUGUUUUAGUACAAAUGUCAAUUUAUUUCUAGUUUUAUGGUCUUCUGUUUGGUCAAAUCACUCAUAAUAUAUAUAUUUUAAUCCUUGGAUAACAGUGUCUUGGAUUAUGAGUUUCUUGACCUGGAGAUCCCAACAAUCUCUAUUGUGGGAAAACUCAUCAAGGCUGGAAUCCCUGUCUUGGUUUACAGUGGAGAUCAAGAUUCUGUUGUCCCAUUGACUGGAAGUCGAACAUUGGUUCGUGGAUUGGCAGAAGAAUUAGGACUGAAAACAACAGUUCCAUAUAGAGUUUGGUUUGCAGGGAUGCAGGUGAUUCUUGUUUAUAAUGAGACGCAUGAAAUGCAUGCAAUUUGUUAUACUUUACACAGUUGUUUAUGAACUCAGAGAAAAGUAAAGAAAACUAAAAUGUUGAGUGCCUAUUUAUGUUGCUUUCCCCUAAACUAGUUAAAGAGAUCAAACGUAACCAAGGUAUAUCAUUUUGAUCAAAGGUUGAAUCGAUCAUCAAAAGAAGAAAUAGGCCAAAAGCUCAGAUACAUUCUGGGAAACUAAAACCAUCUUCUAAACCUUUGGUAUAGGUUCAAAUCCAAUUGGACUUAAUUUAUUUCCAUAUUUCUUUAGAUUUCCAUGUCAAGAAAGACAAUAUGAAUGAAAACAUUUCUCCUAGAGUAGCUGUUAAUACCAAUAAAAGAAACUAAGCACAAUAGUUUUCUUUAACUAGAUGAGGGGAGCUUUCUUUCUUCUUAGGUCUCAAAUAUUGAAAGAAAAAAAAAAAGAAAAAAAAAAAAGAUUUAAAACUUUACAAAUAAAACUUUGAUAAGGUGACUAUUUUGAGGGUACUUUCCGACUUGGUUCCUCCAAUCCCUCAAACUGUAAGAUAAUAAGUCCAAGAAUAGAUCAUUUAGAUUUGAUUGGAUGCAUUUUAUUGUACCUAAUUCCUUUGUCAUAGUACACUGUUAAUUUUGUAUUGUACUCUGAUUAACACCUGACUUCUUCUGAAGUUUAUAGCUGAGUUUCAUUGGUGCCUUAAUGGUAGGUCUCUUCUUAUAAGUUAGGUUAAAUUAGGUCGAUAACCGGUUAUCCCGAGACCUAAGCCCAUAAAUGCAGUGAUGACACCUCAGAACAUCAUUUUUUCUCGUUUCAAAAAAAAAAAAUACACUGUUAAUUUUUUCUUAAAAUUUUUAUUUAGAAAUGAUACGGUAACCUUAGUUUGUUUUCAGAUAAAAUGCUUUAAAAAAACAAAAACUUAGUAAAUAUUUUAAAUUAUUUUCUUAAUUAUCAAACACUAUUUUCACUCAAAAAUAAAAACUACAAAAUGUUUCUGAAAUUUUCGUUGUCUUUGUUCCAAAACACGAAUUCACUCACUAUCGGUAGUUUUCUUCUAAAUUAACUUUCCUAUGGAAUAUUUAUUGCAUUAUCGCGAUUUUUAUUUUUUGUUACACUUUCAAAUUUGAUAUUUUAAUAUUUUGCUUCUUUGUUUUUUUUGUUUUUUUGUUUUUGGGUGGCGAAGGCAUGGAGCAAUGGCAGGAUACAUUGUCCAUCUCAUGUUCAUGGUAUCAUCACCACCACGCCACCCCAAGAGAAUGGGAAAGAAGAAGUAAACUACUCUGCGGCGCUUCUCUCGUACAUGAAAGGCAUGGUGCAGCCACCAGACAAGCUUGUUGAUGACGAACAUCCCUUGUUGUUCAAGCCCUUUUCCAACCUUGGAUUUCUUAAAUAUUGGAUUCAAGAGGUGGCAAAGAACCCUAAGUGUUCUCUCACAGAUUAUUGUGGUGUUUAAUAAUUAAUACCUCCUUUAAUCUCUAGGAAACUGUCUACUCAUCUACUCUAAUAUUUCAUAUAUAUUUUCUUUAAUUAUGAGUAUGGUCCUGAAUCUUUUGGGCCUUUAAGUGAACUCUUAUUUUGAGACCAUCUACAUAUGUUUACACACAAUAAAUAAUAAAAAAAUUGUGGCUAAAUGGUAA